rnacentral:rRNA from 1 species
CACGUAGGGGGCGAGCGUUGUCCGGAUUUAUUGGGCGUAAAGAGCUCGUAGGCGGCUCAGUAAGUCAGGUGUGAAAACUCCAGGCUCAACCUGGAGACGCCACCUGAUACUGCUGUGGCUAGAGUCCGGUAGGGGAGCAUGGAAUUCCUGGUGUAGCGGUGAAAUGCGCAGAUAUCAGGAGGAACACCAGUGGCGAAGGCGGUGCUCUGGGCCGGAACUGACGCUGAGGAGCGAAAGCCAGGGGAGCAAACGGG